rnacentral:rRNA from 1 species
GAUGAACGCUGGCGGCGUGCCUAAUACAUGCAAGUCGAGCGAACGGACGAGAAGCUUGCUUCUCUGAUGUUAGCGGCGGACGGGUGAGUAACACGUGGAUAACCUACCUAUAAGACUGGGAUAACUUCGGGAAACCGGAGCUAAUACCGGAUGAUAUUUUGAACCGCAUGGUUCAAAAGUGAAAGACGGUCUUGCUGUCACUUAUAGAUGGAUCCGCGCUGCAUUAGCUAGUUGGUAAGGUAACGGCUUACCAAGGCAACGAUGCAUAGCCGACCUGAGAGGGUGAUCGGCCACACUGGAACUGAGACACGGUCCAGACUCCUACGGGAGGCAGCAGUAGGGAAUCUUCCGCAAUGGGCGAAAGCCUGACGGAGCAACGCCGCGUGAGUGAUGAAGGUCUUCGGGUCGUAAAGCUCUGUUAUUAGGGAAGAACAUAUGUGUAAGUAACUGUGCACAUCUUGACGGUACCUAAUCAGAAAGCCACGGCUAACUACGUG